GAAGUCAAGAGUACGUGAAACCGUUUAGGGGUAAACCUGAGAAACCCGAAAGGUCGAAGAGAGAAAUUCAUUCGCGUUUCUUGAAUGUCUUUGAGCGGUGUUGAGUGACAAAAUAUGUAUUUAUAUAUAUAUUUUGCGCCCGCUGUUUGAUGAAACAUUUUUGAACGUGUGCACUUUUCUCUCUGUAGGACGUCGCGAUCCGUUGGGUGUUGAUCUACAACAUAUGCAGUGGAGCCCGUUAGUUUUCAUACUAUUUUUUAGUAUGUUUAUACAAACGGACCUGUAAUGUUUGGUCAACUCGCUCGACGGUAUAACUAGUAUCGGUCUAAGGCCGCUCUUGUAGCGUUUGACUCGAAGCAAGCGUGUUAGAUGCAUGUUGGCAAAUCGGAUAUUGUGCCGAUUCCGACCUCUAACGACUGUUGGUUUCGAUGUUCUCAAACAGACCUUAUUAUUAAAGACCAAUCGGCGACGCUAUAGCUUUGGGUACUUUCAGGACCGUUCUUGAA
rnacentral:rRNA from 1 species